GGGUCGUUAGUUCAGCGGUAGAACGCUUCUCUGAUAAAGAAGAGGUGGAUAGUUCGACUCUAUCACGACCCACUA
rnacentral:tRNA from 3 species